UAGAUACUCCCUCAAUCCGGAAAUAUUUGUGAUGAAAAUGGAUGUAUCUAGAUGUAUUUAGUUCUAGAUACAUCAAUUUUUAUUCAUUUUUGCGACAAGUAAUUUCGGACAGAGGAAGUACAAU
rfam:Hordeum vulgare subsp. vulgare, WGS project CAJW01000000 data, contig: morex_contig_1592700